UNCCGAAAGCGGCCGGCACCCGUCAACAACUGCCAAAAUCUCGGAUCUCUCGAUUCGCAGAACCCCGUGAAAGAAGUGCAUUCAUUUUGUUAUGCGACGCUGGGCGAGAGGCGUCUCGCCGGGUGCCAACCCCCCGCGCUCCCUUUCCUCUUUUGGCUGGGUGGCCGGGACUGGUCCCGAAUCAAAGCGUACACCCCAUUUUCAACCCCACCGAACUCUGAAUCUGAACUCGAAAGGGAUGCCGGCCCAGGCCGGCCGCCCUCAACCUUUUAACGUUGCAAAA
rnacentral:rRNA from 1 species